rnacentral:lncRNA from 10 species
GGCUUUGGUCACAGUGACCGCCACCGUUGCCCGGGGAUGGGUCCCUGAGACUUGGCGAAGUAGGAGCCCUGUGUGAUCGUGCGUCAGAGUCGGGGCUGAGACCAGUCCUGGCCAGGGCAGUUACCAGGACGGUCUCCGGAGGCCGGGAUGCGCGGAGGCUCCACCAGCAGGAAGAAACGCCAGGAGGAAGAAACCUGAGACAGAUCGCCGGGGACGCAGCGCGGGAUCCCAGCCUCAGGCUUGCGCGGACGGUGUGCGGGUCCAGCUAUGCAUCACCCCUUCGCUGAUGAGCCUUAAGAAAAUCCAAAUUUAUAAAUUGCUGGGUCCAUCUCUCUUGCCAUCCAGAAAAGUCAGAGCAACUGGUCUUGCUGGUUUUAAGUGUUGCCUGUGUUUCUGGCAUUGGUCACAAAGCCUACUGCCUGCUAAUCGGCAAGUGGACCUGUUUCUCUAACAAUGGCCCAAAACUUCACAAUAUCAAAGGAGAAAUCAUUGCCAGCAAAAGCAUUUCCGGGUAGUAGGAAAGAAUACAAGGGAAUAACAUUAGUCCAGAAGUUUUAAUAAUAUUCUUUGCUGGUUGAAAUUCAUGUUUAACAUGAUGUAAAUUACUUGAUAAGCAAAUUAAGAACUAUGCUACUACAGACUCCAAAUAAGAUGCAAGAAAAAUGAGAGGAAAUACAUUAAAG